rnacentral:lncRNA from 1 species
CGGGCUGCCUGGCCGAGGGGAUGCUGGCUGUCACUGUGGACUUUGGCCUUUUACGGACUCACCGAAGAACAGAAAGCUCUAUCCUGCCCAAUGCCCACAUCCCACAUCUGGAAAAUAAGAGGAUGAACAUGCCACGAUCACCGGACAUUUGGAGACCAGGAUCUGGGAUGCAGAUGCAACUUUCACUAUAAAUAAAAUGGAG